GUCAGGCACGGUGGCGCGCGCCUGUAGUCCCAGCUACUCAGGAGGCUGAGGUGGGAGGAUCACUUGAGUCCAGGAGUUCAAGGGUUCAGUGAGCCAUGAUCAUGCCACUGCACACCAGCCUGGGCAACAGAGUAAGACCCUGUCUCUG
ensembl:misc_RNA Metazoa_SRP Metazoan signal recognition particle RNA